rnacentral:lncRNA from 1 species
UCAACAUGUUGGUCACUACAGAAGGAACUUUGAAGAGUUCAAGGGGCACUAUUCUCGGUGUGGAGUGAACUUCUUCAACCAAGAGAAAGUCUGAUUGGAAGAAGAAGAACAAAUCCGCUAAGAAGUAGAAAAAAGAAAGCAAGCCAAAGAAGGAUGUUCUAAAGAAGGUUGAAGUAAAGGGACAGUAUUUUCAUUGUGAUGCUGAUGGCCA